rnacentral:rRNA from 1 species
AGCGAACGCUGGCGGCAGGCCUAACACAUGCAAGUCGAACGGAUCCUUCGGGAUUGGUGGCGGACGGGUGAGUAACACGUGGGAACGUGCGCUGUGGUUCGGAAAAACUCAGGGGAACUUGAGCUAAUACCGGAGGUGCUCUUGGGGGGAAAGAUUUAUCGCCAUUGGAGCGGCACGCGUCUGAUGAGCUAGUUGGUGAGGUAAAGGCUCACCAAGGCGACGACCAGUAGCUGGUCUGAGAGGAUGAUCGGCCACAUUGGGACUGAGACACGGCCCAAACUCCUACGGGAGGCAGCAGUCGGGAAUCUUGCGCAAUGGGCGAAAGCCUGACGCAGCCAUGCCGCGUGAAUGAUGAAGGUCUUAGGAUUGUAAAAUUCUUUCACCGGGGACGAUAAUGACGGUACCCGGAGAAGAAGCCCCGGCUAACUUCGUGCCAGCAGCCGCGGUAACAC